AGCUAGAAAUUUACGGAAGGCAGAGCAGCUUGCCACCUUGCAUGAGGCCAUGCUGACUCUCCUUGCAUAUAUGCUCGUAUGAAAUAAAGGAGCCUCAGGCUGUCUGAUCCAAAAUCAACCGUGUGGUCAAUUUUUCCACAACAAUUUAGGGGCUCGUCCGGGAUCCACAGAUGACUUCCCCAUACCGGAGGACCGCAGGCAAUCUCCCACCAGACCCAGGGCCCAUUUGAAAGGAAGAGCCACUGGGUGUGGCUAAAUAGGCCUCUGUACUGUUCUGUGUGCCAGUGUGGAAGUGAAGGUCAGUAGAUCAGUGUGAGUGAGGGUCACAAGAAGAUUCCCUGUGUCCGCCCCUUUGUGGGUCAGUAAUGGGCCCUGACCAGGAUAAGGCUUCCUCUGCAUGGCAUGCCCGGCGAGGGACCUGUCUGGGUCUAAUUUUUUGUGACCCUAUCCUUUUCCCCCAUCCUCGGAUGGUCCCUGAGCUCUGUUUGAUCCUCUGGACUGGAGUGAGGCACAUUAUCCGCUCCAGAACCAAGAUCGAGGGAGAUUCCCGUUUCCGUAACCUCCUUCCCUUUCCCUCCCAUCCCCGCCUGAGGGCGGCUGAAUGAGCCACUGACGGGUCCAAAUGUCCUACUGGAAACAACAGAGUAAGAGGCACCAUUCUCUCUGAGACUAGCUGAUGCUCUUUGCUGGAAAGGGCUGUAGACAGUCGUGAAUGCCCUAAACAAGCCUUCCCUGUGUGAAAGACCUGAGUGAAAGUGAUCCGAUCUGUUAACUGGGAAAAUGGAGGCCGGUGAGUCAAAAGGGAUCACCAUCCCACCAAAAGGGCACACCUGAGUAUUGUAUGUAUGCAAAUUGCAGUCCUUUCAGAGAAUGGGAUCCCCACAAAGCCAGUUCAAUGCAUAUUUUAAUUGGUAUGAAGAAACAGGAGAAAAUGGUACCACACAAUUAAAAGAGAUAAAAAGAGAAUUGGCAAAAAAUUUAAAUUCAACCCAGCUGGCAAGAAAUAUUAAGCAACAAAAGCCCCUUACGUUCACCCUCAGACGGUGUCUCCCCGUGCUGAGGAAAUAUUCCCCUUGCACCAAUUCCUUGGCAUUGACGCUUCGGGUCAGGAGACCUUGGUGGCUGUGCAUGCACCUUGGUCUCCCACGGAAUUGUGUAAUUUAAUAAAAAAAUUUCUGAAAAUAAAAGAAGACCCUGUUAAAUUCCAAGAAGAAUUAAAAACUGUCAUGUACUGUUAUAACCCCACCUGGGCAGACAUAAACCAACUCUUGAAGGGAGUCCUGCCCAGGAAAACAUUAAAUCUGCCUUUAUCAGGCAGCCCGAUGGCCGAUGGAGGACCCAGACCAUGAUCAGGACAAAAUAAAUAGGAUUAGAAACAGGCUGUGGGAAGCAAUUCUCCCAGUUUGCCCAAAGAAAGCAGAUUGAGCCAAAAUUAGCACCUGUAAAUCAAGUAAAGAAAAGAAUCUAAAUGAAAUUUUAGCAGCUACCCAACACCAUCACCGCCACAUUGAAACUAAGUUAAUGACCCUCCAGUUCCAGGACAUGCAGGGACCCUGCAAUAGCCACCCAUUGUGGGGGAGAGGGAAAAGGCCAAACCAAGGUCCCCACUGCUUACCUCCCCAGGACCCAGUGAUGGCGCGUGUCACUAUUGCAAACAGAUGGACCAUUGGAAAAGGGAAUGUCUCACUGCCCUGGCCGCUCCACAAGCGGUAGGGGUGGGCAACGUUCUUGUGCCCCACCCCAUCUCUUCACCUCUGACCGUUUAUGUCGGUCCUCUGUCUAACUAUUAUGCUUUCCUCCUCAGUUCUUGUUUACUAGAUGACCUUUUGGGAAAAGUUUUGCUGUGUAAAUUAAAUUGUACAAUCUGCUGUACCCCAAAUGGUGUGCAUCUGGACGUGCCUGAUCCCGCUCACAAUAAGGUCCUGGCAGUUUUGCAGAAGGACACUCUAAAAGAGAAGAUUGACCCCAGCCCUUCCUCGUUGCAACAGGAACUGCUGGUUAAGGUCUCUCCCUCCCUGUGGGCCUUGUGAGCCGAUCAUGCUAACCAAGUUGAGUGCAUUGGGUCUGCCCAACCUGUUAAGAUUCACUUAAGCCCAGCAAGACCACUUCCCAAAGUGCAGUGAAAUCCUCUCUCAAACUAGACUGAGGAAGGAAUUUAAUCUGUAAUGCCUCCUUAAUUCAACAAGAAGUCAUUAUUCCUAUGGUCAGUAAGUGUGACUUCCCUAUUUUACUGUGCUGUUCGUGCUGUUGUUCUCCCUAUCUUUCCCGUUGUCUGUAGCCCUGCUGCUAUCCUGUCUUACAAUGCACCGAUGCUGAGGGGUUGUUACCGCCUCAAGGGAAGAUUGUAUUAAGUCCGGACAUAGAGAAAAGGUCUUUUUAUAUACAGUAGCUUUGCCACUCGCUGAAACCAGAAGACUGGGUCUACAUGGAGAUCCAAUAGCAAGGAAUUGCCCUGGCCCCGUGCUGAAAGACCCUCAUCAAGUCCUGUUAAUUACCAACACCGCUGUGAAGUGCCAAGAAUUGACUACCUUCCCAUGUUUCUGACUGUAAUGGCGCUCCGACUAAUGAUCGGUCUAUCUUUCCUUCUGGUGUUGUUGCUCCUUUUGGACAGCAGGAGUGAAGGACAAGGUAAAAGAGCUGGUAACCUCUCCUUUGUCUGCUGACAGACCCACUGUGCUUUGAAUCUUGCUAAGAAAACAACCUCUCCACCUGAGGACAUAAUAAAGCCUCCAAGCAAGCAAGGUGAUUGUGCUAGUAACCUCUCCCUUGCUGCCUCACUCCCGGACAGCUAAGUGAAUUAAGACAACGAAAUCUCGAAGAAUAGCUUGCGGAAGCUAGCCAAAACUACCUGAAAAUGAAACUUUUAAUGUUCCUCAGCCUCUCCUCCUUAAUGAACUUAGGGUGGGGAUGAGAAAGUAAAAUUUUUCUAGAUCUUAGCCAAUCAGUAGCCUCACUAGUAAAUAAUCAAACGUAUACCCAAAGAGUCUGUUCUGCCACUGAAGAUUUUACCAGUACUGAAAAUUAUUCCCGUAACUAAUGAUUUAUCCUGUACCAUAUUGCAAUAUACCCCUACUUAUACCAUUCAUAUUAAUGCCCCUCUGCCCUUUGUAAAGGUGUUUAACCAACAGAUGUGGUAUAAUAUUUCACAGAGGAGAGAUGUGUUAGGACAUCGGUGGACUGUAAUUAAUGCCACACUAGGGACCAACAGGUUCAUGCUGCCCUUGUCCAGUUUUCGGGUCACCGCUAUUUACCAUAAUUGUUCAAAGAGGGCUGCCCUCAAAUUAACUCAACAAAAAGGCUUGUGCUUCUCCUAAAAAAAAGAAAGAAACUUGGCUGAACACUUGUGGGACGGGGCUAAUGGCGCCAGCUGCAAUCUGGAAUAUCCACAUAAGCCAACAGCAUGAGAAAAAAAAUUAGGCCAAUUGAAAAAGGCCUCUGGUCUUACUUCUGGAGCACAGUUAACUCAGGUGCAGGCUGGAGUGGGUGAAUUGCACGUGAUUUCAGCCCUUAGUUCUAUAACCCAGAAGUUGCUGACAGAGAUGGUAUUAAAUAUCACUGAUGCUGGGAAGGCAUUGCAGUGGGACUUGGCAUGUUACCAGGCCUGGCCCACUGCCCUUACAGACACUUCAGGAAUACCAUCUAAUCUGUGGCCAUGGAGGCAUACUUGGAAAUUUUCUGGGUGGAGGUGUGGACAGUUACAGUGCUCCUUCCAAGCCUAUGGACCGGUCAAAGGGAUGUGGGCUCCCGUGUACCGAAUCCUACGUGGUCCAUGGGGAAACUGUACGUGGAAUUGGGUGAUUCACUGAGACAUUUGGGAAUCAAGCCACCUGAUAUGCCUAGCCAAUUCAUAGUCAGUGCUCCUAAAAUAACAACCAAUAUUUGGAUUGGGAUAGGAAACCAAUGGACACUCUCGCCAUUAGAACCCCCACAGCUUCAGUGUGUACGUAAACUGAAGCCAGGAGAAGUUGUCACAGUUAAUGACGGCGUUUGUUGGAAAAGUAUAGGACAAGAAACUACCCUGACAUGACACUACUAUUCAGAGCUAAUGACAGUUGUGUGCUCGUACAGGCCACAAUAUUACAAGACAUGCAUUUUAAUCUCACCACUGCUGCAGGCAGUCAUAUCUUGUAUUGGCCUACCAAAAAAAAAGUUGCAAUCAGUCCUUCAGCCUCAGAUACCCUAUAAUUGGAUUACCCUAAUGCCUGACUGGUUCCAGAAUUUGCUAGCAGUCUUACCAGAAGUACAGAAAAUUUCUGAACUUCAAUGGCAAAUUCACAUACGCCAGAAUAUAUAUCAAAUUGAAAAGAAUGCUUUUCACACAGCCUAUAGGGUGUCUACUUUAUGUACUAAAUAUGAUGCUUUGUGUUUUGUGACUAAAACCAUUUAGUAAUCUCAACCUCAUCACUUUAUUGCCAUAGGAAUGUUAUUGCUUUUAUUAUUAUUUGGUAUGGGUAAUAGAUGCAUUUAUCAUUGCCUGCCCAGUCCUAGACCUGCUAGGUUCAAUGCACAAGAGCGAGUGGAGCUAAGGAUUGUUAAUGAACUUUAUGACAACAGUUGGAAAGAAAGGAAGCCAGAAGCAGUGAUGAAUGUGUAUGAGGAUAUGCAGGAAAGAGGGAGGAAGAAAAGGAAAAGGUUAAUGAAUUGAUGAAUAUAGAAAUGUAGGCUAAGGUGAAGCAUCAAAGGGGGAAUUGUGAGGGAAAAUACGGUGGGCUUACAACUUUGGCCAGGCUUUUAGGCCUAAACUUUGGAUAAGCUUGUUUUUAGGCUGUGUUGAACUUUGGUUCAGCUUGUCUCUGUGUAAAAGGGGCAGAGAGGAGGGGGAGAGAGUGAUGAAAGAGUGAUGGAAAGUUGCUUCUGUGUGUCAAGGGGUAAAAGGAGUCACAGUGGAAAGUUCCCAAAAUGGAACAAUGGCUUUGUGUGUAUAAAGGGCAUGAGGGGGCAGAGUGAUAAAAUCCCCAAGUAGCAUAAUUUUCAAUAGCCAGGCUUAUGAAAUAUAUAACCACAACAGUUGUGUUAGAAAGGUCGCUGACCACAAAAAAAAAACAGACAGUAAGUAACAGGGGGGCCUAGUGGGCGAGACGCUUGUUUUUGCUUUUGUCCUAUAUUAAUUUUUCAAUAUAUUCCAAAUAAGGUAAUUAAUACGGAAGUAUGUGUAAUUUGUCUGUGGUUUUAACCUUUAAGGCAGAGCAGCUUGCCACCUUGCAUGAGGCCAUGCUGACUCUCCUUGCAUAUAUGCUCGUAUGAAAUAAAGGAGCCUCAGGCUGUCUGAUCCAAAAUCAACCAUGUGGUCAAUUUUCCACAACCGUAUACUGGUAAAGUAGAUGAGUCAAAACAUAUAGUCAGAGUAGAUUCCUAGUAAGAAAUAAUAAUUUCUUUCAGAUAAUUUGCAAACACAAUUAUUUUCAGACAAUUUUAAUGGUUAUAGUGUUUACUGAGUAAAUCUAACAUGCAUUGCUGCACACCUCGAGCAAUUUCUCCAACAAUUUGGCGCUGAGACUUUCUGGAAAACCACACAGACAGUUAAGCCAUGCAGUGGUGCACACUCAGAACAGCCAGCCACAAGGCAUGAAAAGAAAAAAUUGCCUACACUAAUGUUUCUCAACAAGCAGUCUAUGGCAGUCUCCUUGCCAGUCCCUGAGAUUUCCCUGAGACAGUAUAUUAAAAAUGUAUCUGUAAAGUGGGGUUUUUUUAACUUGCAUUUUACAUCACUGUAUUAAUUAACUUAUUUCAGAAAUUUUGAAGUGUUCUGUAUUUUUCAAAGAUGUGAAAUAGAUACCU